AACCCGGCUGCACGAAGCCGGAAUCGCUAGUAAUCGCAGAUCAGAAUGCUGCGGUGAAUACGUUCCCGGGUCUUGUACACACCGCCCGUCACACCAUGGGAGUCGGAAAUGCCCGAAGUCAGUGGCCCAACCGGAAGGAGGGAGCUGCCGAAGGCAGGUCCGGUGACUGGGGUGAAGUCGUAACAAGGUACC
rnacentral:rRNA from 1 species